rnacentral:snRNA from 1 species
AUAUUCUGAUUUCUCUUCAGAUCAUAUAAAUGCUUCACUUUUUACUAAAGAUUUCCAUGCACACGAACAAAGAGUUUUUAACUAAUUUUUUGAGGCCCAGUUUACGAAUGAGGGUC